CCCGUCUCCAAUUGUCCUAGCGCUCGCCGCUGCUUUGACUUUCGGUACGCAAGCUUUCUCAACUACAUUACUAUAUGCCACGUGUGUUUGAGGGAAAGAAGGGUUCCUGCCAGCCACUCCUGCCAGCUGCGGACGUGGCCCCUGGGGGUGACGGGUUUUAAAAGGAGGUUUUGGACGCCCUUAACGAGUGGAUGAUCAUGGGCACCACAGCUGGCAGAAAUCAAGAAAUUAUGCGGCGGCUUCUUAUUGCCGUGGUCGCAUUUGCUCUUCAUGAGGUGGCACUCGGUCGAGGGGUCCCGGUUGGAGGAUCGAAAGGGUCAUCGGGUUCCGGU